rnacentral:rRNA from 1 species
UGGGGAAUAUUGGGCAAUGGACGCAAGUCUGACCCAGCAACGCCGCGUGAAGGAAGAAGGCUUUCGGGUUGUAAACUUCUUUUGUCAGGGAACAGUAGAAGAGGGUACCUGACGAAUAAGCCACGGCUAACUACGUGCCAGCAGCCGCGGUAAUACGUAGGUGGCAAGCGUUGUCCGGAUUUACUGGGUGUAAAGGGCGUGCAGCCGGGAAUGCAAGUCAGAUGUGAAAUCUGGAGGCUCAACCUCCAAACUGCAUUUGAAACUGUGUUUCUUGAGUAUCGGAGAGGUCAUCGGAAUUCCUUGUGUAGCGGUGAAAUGCGUAGAUAUAAGGAAGAACACCAGUGGCGAAGGCGGAUGACUGGACGACAACUGACGGUGAGGCGCGAAAGCGUGGGGAGCAAACAG